CCUACGGGCGGCUGCAGUAAGGAAUAUUGGUCAAUGGACGAAAGUCUGAACCAGCCAUGCCGCGUGAAGGAUGAAGGUCCUCUGGAUUGUAAACUUCUUUUAUCUGGGACGAAAAAAGGGAAUUCUUUCUCACUUGACGGUACCAGAAGAAUAAGCACCGGCUAACUCCGUGCCAGCAGCCGCGGUAAUACGGAGGGUGCAAGCGUCACUGGGAGUCACUGGGGUGAAGGGGGGCAGUUGAGUCCAUGGUGAACUCUCCGGGCUUAACCCGGAAACUGCCAUUGAUACUAUCUGUCUUGAAUACUCUGGAGGUAAGCGGAAUAUGUCAUGUAGCGGUGAAAUGCUUAGAUAUGACAUAGAACACCGAUUGCGAAGGCAGCUUACUACGGAGUCAUUGACACUGAGGCACGAAAGCGUGGGGAUCAAACAGGAUUAGAUACCCGUGUAGUC
rnacentral:rRNA from 1 species